GCUAAAGCAGUCAUGCGUAAUUCCCAUAUGCAGCCAUGCUUGCAGCACCGGAUAUUGACAAGAUGAAAGCUUGUCUUUAUGCUACAAACCAAAGCCAUUGACACACGCCGCUAAAUAUGUGUGCCACCAACAAUCUAUUUCUGGCAAGGGAUCUGGCUUCUAUGCUGCCCACCAAUUGAUUUUAGCCAUGGGACAAACAAACUUGGAAUGCCCUGAGGUAUUCACAUCUAAUUAAUUUAGUGUACAUGUGCUGCUAUCCUCUAGACUAAUAGAGUUACUAAGAUAUAGUGUGAUCUGUUAAAGUAAGUCACAAGUCAUUGCAGUAAGC